UCCCUGUCUACUAUCCAG
rnacentral:snRNA from 1 species